GAUCAUGGCUCAGGACGAACGCUGGCGGCGUGCUUAAGACAUGCAAGUCGAACGAAUGUAGAAAUACAUUAGUGGCGGACUGGUGAGUAACGUGUGAGCAAUCUGCCUCUAACUGGGGGAUAACACUUAGAAAUAGGUGCUAAUACCGCAUAAGACCACAUGAAGGCAUCUUCGAGGGGUCAAAGAUUUAUCGGUUAGAGAUGAGCUCGCAUCCCAUUAGCUAGUUGG
rnacentral:rRNA from 1 species